rnacentral:rRNA from 1 species
GAUGAACGCUGGCGGCGUGCCUAAUACAUGCAAGUCGAGCGAACAGACGAGGAGCUUGCUCCUUUGACGUUAGCGGCGGACGGGUGAGUAACACGUGGGUAACCUACCUAUAAGACUGGGAUAACUUCGGGAAACCGGAGCUAAUACCGGAUAAUAUUUCGAACCGCAUGGUUCGAUAGUGAAAGAUGGCUCUGCUAUCA